rnacentral:rRNA from 1 species
GCCAUCAUUCAGUUGGGCACUCUAAGGGGACGUGCCGGUGAUAAGCCGACGAGAAGGUGGGGGAUGACGUCAAGUCCUCAUGGCCCUUACGGGCUGGGCUACACACGUGCUACAAUGGUGGUGACAUGGGCAGCGAGACCGCGAGGUCGAGCUAAUCUCCAAAAGCCAUCUCAGUUCGGAUUGCACUCUGCAACUCGAGUGCAUGAAGUUGGAAUCGCUAGUAAUCGCGGAUCAGCAUGCCGCGGUGAAUACGUUCCCGGGCCUU